rnacentral:rRNA from 1 species
GCUCCGCAAGGAGAGUGGCAGACGGGUGAGUAACGCGUGGGAAUCUACCUAGUUCUACGGAACAACAGUUGGAAACGACUGCUAAUACCGUAUACGCCCUAAGGGGGAAAGAUUUAUCGGAAUUAGAUGAGCCCGCGUAAGAUUAGCUAGUUGGUGGGGUAAUGGCCUACCAAGGCGACGAUCUUUAGCUGGUCUGAGAGGAUGAUCAGCCACACUGGGACUGAGACACGGCCCAGACUCCUACGGGAGGCAGCAGUGGGGAAUAUUGGACAAUGGGCGCAAGCCUGAUCCAGCCAUGCCGCGUGAGUGAUGAAGGCCUUAGGGUUGUAAAGCUCUUUCAGUGGGGAAGAUAAUGACGGUACCCACAGAAGAAGCCCCGGCUAACUUCGUGCCAGCAGCCGCGGUAAUACGAAGGGGGCUAGCGUUGUUCGGAUUUACUGGGCGUAAAGCGCACGUAGGCGGAUUGGUCAGUUAGGGGUGAAAUCCUGGAGCUCAACUCCAGAACUGCCUUUAAUACUGCCAGUCUAGAGUCCGGAAGAGGUAAGUGGAACUCCUAGUGUAGAGGUGGAAUUCGUAGAUAUUAGGAAGAACACCAGUGGCGAAGGCG